rnacentral:rRNA from 1 species
AACGCGAAGAACCUUACCUGGGCUCGAAAUGUAGUGGAAUAGGGUGGAAACAUCCUAGGCUCGCAAGAGACUGCUAUAUAGGUGCUGCAUGGCUGUCGUCAGCUCGUGUCGUGAGAUGUUGGGUUAAGUCCCGCAACGAGCGCAACCCUUAUCCCUAGUUGCCAUCGGGUCAAGCCGGGCACUCUAGUGAAACCGCUCAGGAUAACUGGGAGGAAGGUGGGGAUGACGUCAAGUCCUCAUGGCCUUUAUGUCCAGGGCUACACACGUGCUACAAUGGUCGGUACAAACCGUCGCAAACCCGCGAGGGGGAGCUAAUCGGAAAAAGCCGGCCUCAGUUCGGAUUGGAGUCUGCAACCCGACUCCAUGAAGCUGGAAUCGCUAGUAAUCGCGGAUCAGAACGCCGCGGUGAAUACGUUCCCGGGCCUUGUA